rnacentral:rRNA from 1 species
CUUAAAAGGAAUUGACGGGGCCCGCACAAGCGGUGGAGCAUGUGGUUAAUUCGAAGCAACGCGAAGAACCUUACCAGGUCUUGACAUCCCGAUGCUAUUUCUAGAGAUAGAAAGUUACUUCGGUACAUCGGUGACAGGUGGUGCACGGUUGUCGUCAGCUCGUGUCGUGAGAUGUUGGGUUAAGUCCCGCAACGAGCGCAACCCCUAUUGUUAGUUGCCAUCAUUCAGUUGGGCACUCUAGCGAGACUGCCGGUAAUAAACCGGAGGAAGGUGGGGAUGACGUCAAAUCAUCAUGCCCCUUAUGACCUGGGCUACACACGUGCUACAAUGGUUGGUACAACGAGUUGCGAGUCGGUGACGGCGAGCUAAUCUCUUAAAGCCAAUCUCAGUUCGGAUUGUAGGCUGCAACUCGCCUACAUGAAGUCGGAAUCGCUAGUAAUCGCGGAUCAGCACGCCGCGGUGAAUACGUUCCCGGGUCUU